GCAUUAGUAGCUUAACAUAAGAGCGCCGGCCUUGUAAGCCGGAGGCUGAGGGUUAAAAUCCCUCCUCAUGCU
rnacentral:tRNA from 1 species